GGACGAACGCUGGCGGCGUGCCUAACACAUGCAAGUCGAACGAAGAAUGUUUUUCGGAAUAUUCUUAGUGGCGGACGGGUGAGUAACGCGUGAACAAUCUGCCCCGUACAAAGGGAUAGCCUCGGGAAACCGGGAUUAAAACCAUAUAACGCUUAACUGCCGCAUGGUAGUGAAGUCAAAUCGAUUAAGAGGUAUGGGAUGAGUUCGCGUCUGAUUAGCUAGUUGGUGAGGUAAGGGCUCACCAAGGCGACGAUCAGUAGCCGGCCUGAGAGGGUGAACGGCCACACUGGAACUGAGACACGGUCCAGACUCCUACGGGAGGCAGCAGUGGGGAAUAUUGCACAAUGGAGGGAACUCUGAUGCAGCGACGCCGCGUGAGUGAAGAAGGUCUUCGGAUCGUAAAACUCUGUCCUUGGUGAAGAAAAGGACGGUAGCCAAGGAGGAAGCCCCGGCUAACUACGUGCCAGCAGCCGCGGUAAUACGGAGGAUGCAAGCGUUAUCCGGAUUCAUUGGGUUUAAAGGGUGCGUAGGCGGGCUAUUAAGUCAGUGGUGAAAUCCUGCAGCUUAACUGCAGAACUGCCGUUGAUACUGAUAGUCUUGAGUUUGGUUAAGGUAGGCGGAAUGUGUAAUGUAGCGGUGAAAUGCUUAGAUAUUACACAGAACACCAAUUGCGUAGGCAGCUUACUGAGCCGACACUGACGCUGAGGCACGAAAGCGUGGGGAUCAGACAGGAUUAGAUACCCUGGUAGUCCACGCCGUAAACGAUGAUUACUCGCUGUUGGCGAUACACUGUCAGCGGCUAAGCAAAAGCAAUAAGUAAUCCACCUGGGGAGUACGGCCGCAAGGUUGAAACUCAAAGGAAUUGACGGGGGCCCGCACAAGCGGAGGAACAUGUGGCUUAAUUCGAUGAUACGCGAGGAACCUUACCUGGGCUUAAAUGUAGAGUGCAUUUUCUAGAGAUAGAAAUUCCCUUCGGGGCUUUCUGCAAGGUGCUGCAUGGUUGUCGUCAGCUCGUGCCGUGAGGUGUCGGGUUAAGUCCCAUAACGAGCGCAACCCUUAUCGUUAGUUGCCAGCUGGUAAAGCAGGGGACUCUAGCGAAACUGCCACCGUAAGGUGAGAGGAAGGUGGGGAUGACGUCAAAUCAGCACGGCCCUUAUGUCCAGGGCUACACACGUGUUACAAUGGCCGGUACAGAGGGCUGCUACCUGGUGACAGGAUGCUAAUCUCGAAAACCGGUCUCAGUUCGGAUCGAAGUCUGCAACUCGACUUCGUGAAGCCGGAUUCGCUAGUAAUCGCGCAUCAGCAACGGCGCGGUGAAUACGUUCCCGGGCCU
rnacentral:rRNA from 1 species